rnacentral:tRNA from 1 species
UAGCUCAGUGGUAGAGCACAUGCUUAGCAGGCACAAGGUCCUGGGUUCAAUCCCCAG